rnacentral:rRNA from 1 species
GAUGAACGCUGGCGGCGUGCCUAAUACAUGCAAGUCGAGCGAACAGACGAGGAGCUUGCUCCUCUGACGUUAGCGGCGGACGGGUGAGUAACACGUGGAUAACCUACCUAUAAGACUGGGAUAACUUCGGGAAACCGGAGCUAAUACCGGAUAAUAUAUUGAACCGCAUGGUUCAAUAGUGAAAGACGGUUUUGCUGUCACUUAUAGAUGGAUCCGCGCCGCAUUAGCUAGUUGGUAAGGUAACGGCUUACCAAGGCAACGAUGCGUAGCCGACCGGAGAGGGUGAUCGGCCACACUGGAGCUGAGACACGGUCCAGACUCCUACGGGAGGCAGCAGUAGGGAAUCUUCCGCAAUGGGCGAAAGCCUGACGGAGCAACGCCGCGUGAGUGAUGAAGGUCUUCGGAUCGUAAAACUCUGUUAUUAGGGAAGAACAAAUGUGUAAGUAACUAUGCACGUCUUGACGGUACCUAAUCAGAAAGCCACGGCUAACUACGUG